ACGUCCAUCAGUCGUGGAGAAAUUCUAGUUAACCUCCCAGUGCGACCCUUUGCGUCUUCUAUUUUGGUACCCCAGAAAGCUCUUUUUUGCUGUUCUAUUUCUAUCAUUCACUUCUCUCUAUUCGACUUUUUCAGUGUACUCCCACAGAUUGAGACGCGAAUAUCUCAACCAGGAAAAUGUCCGAAACGGCUCUGAUUUUCAUCGUCUUAUUAUCUGUUAUAUCAUCAAAUUCACAUCCGAUCGACGUCAAAUCCAACAUUAGGAAUAGGGCUACAGGCAAAACGAGUGACGACGAUGAAUCAAAAACUGCGAUCGAUUGGAACACAACGACUGGUGGUGUCAAAUGGCUUCGCAAUUGCGAUUUCCCAGGGUACGACAUCAAAUAUCAAUUCAUGCCGAUAGAAAAGUGUCAUCUCAAGUGCUGCAGUCAAGCUUGCAUGGCUUUGAGCGGAUGUAAUGCUUUCAGGUGGAACGACGGAUGGUGUUUUCUAAAGAAAUUGCCCUCACUCAACCGCACACCCGUCGCCAGUGGCACUUGCGGAUUCCUUCCACACGAGAUCAAACAAUAAGUACCGCCAAUCGUGAGAUGCUAUUAGACUAUAUGCGAUUGUGACAUGAAAUACAACCUCGCUAUGUUCUGUGUAAUGGAAGAUGAAAUUUGAAUACUUGACUGUACACCAGCGUAUUAUUCUUUGGCGGGAAUCGUAUGAAAUUUAAACAUUCUGAAUUUUAAAAAAAUGAAUAAAUAGGAUUUGUUGGAA